UACAGAGGUCUCGAGCGUUGUUCGGAUUCAUUGGGCGUAAAGGGCGCGUAGGCGGCGGGGUAAGUCUGGUGUGAAAUCUCGGAGCUCAACUCCGAAAUUGCACUGGAUACUGCUCUGCUAGAGGGCUGGAGAGGAGAUCGGAAUUCACGGUGUAGCAGUGAAAUGCGCAGAUAUCAGGAGGAACACCGGUGGCGAAGGCGGUUCUCUGGGACGGUACUGACGCUGAGACGCGAAACGUGGGGAGCGAACAGG
rnacentral:rRNA from 1 species